UACAGAGGUCUCAAGCGUUGUUCGGAUUCAUUGGGCGUAAAGGGUGCGUAGGCGGCGCGGUAAGUCGGGUGUGAAAUCUCGGAGCUUAACUCCGAAACUGCAUUCGAUACUGGGAAGCUUGAGUUCGGGAGAGGGAUGUAGAAUUCAAGGUGUAGCGGUGAAAUGCGUAGAUAUCUGGAGGAAUACCGGUGGCGAAGGCGGCAUCCUGGACCGAAACUGACGCUGAGGCGCGAAAGCUAGGGGAGCAAACGGG
rnacentral:rRNA from 1 species